rnacentral:rRNA from 1 species
CGGAAACCACAUGGUUCUGAUAUCAAAGAUUUUAUCGCUUGAAGAUGGACUCGCGUCCGAUUAGUUAGUUGGUGAGGUAACGGCUCACCAAGACCGCGAUCGGUAGCCGGACUGAGAGGUUGAACGGCCACAUUGGGACUGAGACACGGCCCAGACUCCUACGGGAGGCAGCAGUGGGGGAUAUUGCGCAAUGGGGGCAACCCUGACGCAGCAACGCCGCGUGAAGGAUGAAGGUUUUCGGAUUGUAAACUUCUUUUAUUAAGGACGAAAAAUGACGGUACUUAAUGAAUAAGCUCCGGCUAACUACGUGCCAGCAGCCGCGGUAAUACGUAGGGAGCAAGCGUUGUCCGGAUUUACUGGGUGUAAAGGGUGCGUAGGCGGCUUUGCAAGUCAGAUGUGAAAUCUAUGGGCUCAACCCAUAAACUGCAUUUGAAACUGUAGAGCUUGAGUGAAGUAGAGGCAAGCGGAAUUCCCCGUGUAGCGGUGAAAUGCGUAGAGAUGGGGAGGAACACCAGUGGCGAAGGCGGCCUGCUGGGCUUUAACUGACGCUGAGGCACGAAAGCGUGGGUAGCAAACAGGAUUAGAUACCCUGGUAGUCCACGCUGUAAACGAUGAUUACUAGGUGUGGGGGGUGUGACCCCUUCCGUGCCGGAGUUAACACAAUAAGUAAUCCACCUGGGGAGUACGGCCGCAAGGUUGAAACUCAAAGGAAUUGACGGGGGCCCGCACAAGCAGUGGAGUACGUGGUUUAAUUUGAAGCAACGCGAAGAACCUUACCAGGUCUUGACAUCCAACUAACGAAGUAGAGAUACAUUAGGUGCCCUUCGGGGAAAGUUGAGACAGGUGGUGCAUGGUUGUCGUCAGCUCGUGUCGUGAGAUGUUGGGUUAAGUCCCGCAACGAGCGCAACCCUUGCAAUUAGUUGCUACGCAAGAGCACUCUAAUAGGACUGCCGUUGACAAAACGGAGGAAGGUGGGGAGGACGUCAAAUCAUCAUGCCCCUUAUGACCUGGGCUACACACGUACUACAAUGGAUGUUAACAGAGGGAAGCAAGACAGCGAUGUGGAGCAAACCCCUAAAAACAUUCUCAGUUCAGAUUGCAGGCUGCAACCCGCCUGCAUGAAGAUGGAAUUGCUAGUAAUCGCGGAUCAGCAUGCCGCGGUGAAUAAAGGGCCGGGCCUUGCACA